rnacentral:rRNA from 1 species
GUGGAUAACCUGCCGUAUACCGGGGGAUAACACUUAGAAAUAGGUGCUAAUACCGCAUAAGCGCACGGCUCCGCAUGGGGCAGUGUGAAAAACUCCGGUGGUAUACGAUGGAUCCGCGUCUGAUUAGCUAGUUGGCGGGGUAACGGCUCACCAAGGCAGCGAUCAGUAGCCGGCCUGAGAGGGUGGACGGCCACAUUGGGACUGAGACACGGCCCAAACUCCUACGGGAGGCAGCAGUGGGGAAUAUUGCACAAUGGGGGAAACCCUGAUGCAGCGACGCCGCGUGAGUGAAGAAGUAUCUCGGUACGUAAAGCUCUAUCAGCAGGGAAGAUAAUGACGGUACCUGACCAAGAAGCCCCGGCUAACUACGUGCCAGCAGCCGCGGUAAUACGUAGGGGGCAAGCGUUAUCCGGAUUUACUGGGUGUAAAGGGAGCGCAGGCGGCGUGGCAAGUCAGAUGUGAAAACCCGGGGCCCAACCCCGGGAGUGCAUUUGAA